CCUACGGGUGGCAGCAGUGGGGAAUAUUGCACAAUGGGGGAAACCCUGAUGCAGCGACGCCGCGUGAGUGAAGAAGUAACUCGUUAUGUAAAGCUCUAUCAGCAGGGAAGACAAUGACGGUACCUGAGUAAGAAGCCCCGGCUAACUAAGUGCCAGCUGCCGAGGUACUACGUAGGGGGCAAGCGUUAUCCGGAUUUACUGGGUGUACAGGGAGCGUAGACGGCUGUGCAAGUCUGGAGUGAAAGGCGGGGGCUCAACCCCCGGACUGCUGUGGAAACUGUCCGGCUGGAGUGCAGGAGAGGUAAGUGGAAUUCCUGGUGUAGCGGUGAAAUGCGUAGAUAUUAGGAGGAACACCAGUGGCGAAGGCGGCUUGCUGGACUGUAACUGACGUUGAGGCUCGAAAGCGUGGGGAGCAAACAGGAUUAGAUACCCUUGUAGUC
rnacentral:rRNA from 1 species